rnacentral:rRNA from 1 species
GUGUAAUGAGGAUAAUUUACAAACCUUACCGAAAGCAAUUGGAGGGCAAGUCUGGUGCCAGCAGCCGCGGUAAUUCCAGCUCCAAAAGCGUAUAUUAAAGUUGUUGCAGUUAAAAAGCUCGUAGUUGAAGUUCUGGCUGUAUUGGGCCUUUGCACUAGAUGCGAAGGAACCAGCAGUCAUCCGCUUGCAAAUACAUGUCCUUCCUUAACCGGUAGGCUGUAUAAGUAAGCACUUUACCUUGAGAAAAAACAGAGUGUUCCAGGCAGGUUUGUCCGGAAUGCGUUAGCAUGGAAUAAUAGAAUAUGACUGAAGUCGAUUUAUUGGUUUAAGGCUUUAGUAAUGAUUAAUAGGAACAAUCGGGGGCAUUGGUACUUGUCAGUCAGAGGUGAAAAUUCUAGGAUUUGACAAAGACUAACUGAUGCGAAAGCGUUUGCCAAGAAUG